CCCACCACCCAUCACCCACGACCCAAUUCCCCUUUAGAAAAAACAUCUACACAUCUUUGCACCCAAAUUCCUUUUCUCUGUCUCUCUAUAGUGUAUGGCCAGUUCAGCUUUAUCUCUUUCUGUGCAUCAAUUCUUCUUCCCAUGUCCACAAUGUUGUAGUAAUUGGAAGAGCAACUCCUCCUCUUCUUUCUUUUUCUCAAAUGGAGAUAAGCGUUCUCUCACUUGCUUUUCAUCCAAGAAAAAAAUAGGCUUCAUGGACCAAAUUCUUGAUUACAUUGAAGCCGAGUGAUGCAGCUAGCGGAUCCAUGGAUGCAAGAUUUUCUAACUCUAGUAAUCAUGUAAUAUGAUUAGUUGACUAAAGUGAAUUUGUGACGAUUUCAGUUGAUGACAUUUACUUGUCUUAGUAUUUUGUAGUUUAAUGGAACGUUGAUAUUUCUCAAUUUUGAUAUUCUGGUUUAGUGUUAAA